GAGAUGGGUUCAAAGCUGUACCUAUCCUUGGGACACCCAAGUAUUUCCACACUCCCCUCUUCACAAGCAUCUGGAAUAGGCUUGUAAUCUGCACCUGAGUGUUUCUCGUGACUAACAGGUUGAAUAUAAUAUGGGGCUUAUAGAAACAUUAAUUGCCACUCCAGGAUAUAAAUAAUAGCUUCCAAGUAUAUAAAUUUUAAAGGUAAAGCAUCCCUUACUACUGCUUUAGUGACUAACAAAUAAUCAUCUGCAUAGAACACAUAAGAUCAUAUCUUGAAUAGUGCGUCUAGGCCAAUAAACUUUUAGUGAUUUUAUUUGAACAAUAGCCUAU
rnacentral:lncRNA from 1 species